rnacentral:rRNA from 1 species
UACGGAAGGGGCAAGCGUUGUUCGGAAUCAUUGAGCGUAAAGGGCGCGUAGGUGGUUCUGUAUGUCUACCGUGAAAGCAUACAGCUCAACUGUAUUUUGUCGGUAGAAACUGCAGGACUUGAGGCUGGGAGGGGCUGGUGGAAUUCCCUGUGUAGCGGUGAAAUGCGUAGAGAUGGGGGAGAACACUCGUGGCGAAGGCGGCCAGCUAGACCAGUUCUGACACUGAGGCGCGACAGCGUGGGGAGCAAACAGG